rnacentral:rRNA from 1 species
UACGAAGGGGGCUAGCGUUGCUCGGAAUCACUGGGCGUAAAGGGUGCGUAGGCGGGUCUUUAAGUCAGGGGUGAAAUCCUGGAGCUCAACUCCAGAACUGCCUUCGAUACUGGGAGUCUCGAGUUCGGAAGAGGUGAGUGGAACUGCGAGUGUAGAGGUGAAAUUCGUAGAUAUUCGCAAGAACACCAGUGGCGAAGGCGGCUCACUGGUCCGAUACUGACGCUGAGGUGCGAAAGCGUGAGGAGCAAACAGGAUUAGAAACCCUAGUAGU